UGAAAUUCACUCUAACAUUUGACAUAUAUAAGACUUUCGAUGAAUACUUACGGUCUGCUUGAGGAAUAAGUGAAAUGAAACUGCUGAAUACGCUCUUAGUAAUUGAAUUACUAGUCACACAGCAUGAAUAGUUGCCUUUAUCAGUAGGUUCAACUUUGGCAAUGUAAAGGUUACCAUUUGUUUGUGACACAUAUCGCCGUUUAUCCAAAGUAAUGAAUUCUGGGAAAUCAUUCAGAAACCAACGAUAACUUAGAUCA